AUCCUUAUGGUGCAGUGGUUUGAAUGUUGGACUGUGACUCUGGAGUCCAGGGUUCGUAUCCCGGCUGGACUA